AUUGAACGCUGGCGGCAUGCCUUACACAUGCAAGUCGAACGGCAGCACGGGGGCAACCCUGGUGGCGAGUGGCGAACGGGUGAGUAAUACAUCGGAACGUGUCCUGUAGCGGGGGAUAACCUCUCGAAAGAGAGGCUAAUACCGCAUACGACCUAUGGGUGAAAGAGGGGGAUCGCAAGACCUCUCACUAUUGGAGCGGCCGAUGUCGGAUUAGCUAGUUGGUGGGGUAAAAGCCACCAAGGCUACGAUCCGUAGCUGGUCUGAGAGGACGGCCAGCCACACUGGAACUGAGACACGGUCCAGACUCCUACGGGAGGCAGCAGUGGGGAAUUUUGGACAAUGGGCGCAAGCCUGAUCCAGCCAUGCCGCGUGAGUGAAGAAGG
rnacentral:rRNA from 1 species